rnacentral:rRNA from 1 species
CCAUCAAAACUUUUUAGCUAGAGUAUGAUAGAGGAAAGCAGAAUUUCUAGUGUAGAGGUGAGAUUCGUAGAUAUUAGAAAGAAUACCAAUUGCGAAGGCAGCUUUCUGGAUCAUUACUGACGCUGAGGAACGAAAGCAUGGGUAGCGAAGAGGAUUAGAUACCCUCGUAGUCCAUGCCGUAAACGAUGUGUGUUAGACGUUGGAAAUUUAUUUUCAGUGUCGCAGCGAAAGCAUUAAACACACCGCCUGGGGAGUACGACCGCAAGGUUAAAACUCAAAUGAAUUGACGGGGACCCGCACAAGUAGUGGAGCAUGUGGUUUAAUUCGAAGAUACGCGCAGAACCUUACCAACACUUGACAUGUUCGUCGCGACUCUAAGAGAUUAGAGUUUUCGGUUCGGCCGGACGAAACACAGGUGCUGCAUGGCUGUCGUCAGCUCGUGUCGUGAGAUGUUGGGUUAAGUCCCGCAACGAGCGCAACCCUCACUUUUAGUUGCCAUCAUUUAGUUGGGCACUCUGAAAGAACUGCCAGUGAUAAGCUGGAGGAAGGUGGGGAUGACGUCAAGUCCUCAUGGCCCUUACGUGUUGGGCUACACACGUGCUACAAUGGCAUUUACAAUAGGAAGCAAGAUGGCGACAUCAAGCAAAUCCUAAAAAGAUGCCUCAGUUCGGAUUGUACUCUGCAACUCGAGUACAUGAAGCUGGAAUUACUAGUAAUCGCGGAUCAGCGCGCCGCGGUGAAUACGUUCCCGGGUCUUGUACACACCGCCCGUCACACCAUGGGAGUUGGUUCUACCUUAAGGCAAGGUUUAAAACCCUUGACCACGGUAUAGUCAGCGACUGGGGUGAAGUCGUAACAAGGUAAC